CCUACGGGGUGCAGCAGUGGGGGAUAUUGCACAAUGGGGGGAACCCUGAUGCAGCGACGCCGCGUGGGUGAAGGAGUGCUUCGGCAUGUAAAGCCCUAUCGGCAGGGAAGAAGCAAGACGUUACCUGACUAAGCAGCCCCGGCUAACUACGUGCCAGCAGCCGCGGUAAUCCGUAGGGGGCGAGCGUUAUCCGGAUUCACUGGGUGGAAAGGGAGCGUAGACGGCCAAGCAAGCCAGGGGUGAAAGCGCGGGCCCCAAACCCGGGACUGCCCUUGGAAUUGCAGGGCGGGAGUGCGGGAGGGGCAGGCGGAAUUCCUGGUGGAGCGGUGAAAUGCGUAGAUAUCAGGAGGAACACCGGCGGCGAAGGCGGCCUGCUGGACCGCGACUGACGUUGAGGCUCGAAAGCGUGGGGAGCGAACAGGAUUAGAUACCCCUGUAGUC
rnacentral:rRNA from 1 species